AGUGAACGCUGGCGGUAGGCCUAACACAUGCAAGUCGAACGGCAGCACAGUAAGAGCUUGCUCUUACGGGUGGCGAGUGGCGGACGGGUGAGGAAUACAUCGGAAUCUACUUUUUCGUGGGGGAUAACGUAGGGAAACUUACGCUAAUACCGCAUACGACCUACGGGUGAAAGCAGGGGAUCUUCGGACCUUGUGCGAUUGAAUGAGCCGAUGUCGGAUUAGCUAGUUGGCGGGGUAAAGGCCCACCAAGGCGACGAUCCGUAGCUGGUCUGAGAGGAUGAUCAGCCACACUGGAACUGAGGCACGGUCCAGACUCCUAAGGGAAGCCGGAAUGGGGAAUAUUGGACAAUGGGGGCAAACCUGAUCCAGCCAUAGCGCGUGGGUGAAGAAGGCCUUCGGGUUGUAAAGCCCUUUUGUUGGGAAAGAAAAGCAGCAGGUUAAUACCCCGCUGUUCUGACGGUACCCAAAGAAUAAGCACCGGCUAACUUCGUG
rnacentral:rRNA from 1 species